UCCUCCGUGGCGCAAUUGGCAGCGCGUUCGACUAUUAUUGGCAGAUGGCACAUCGAGAGGUUGACAGUUCGAACAUGUCCGGGGAAG